ACAUAAAUAGAAUCGGUCAAAAGGUCAAAUACGGUCAAACAAAAGUCAAACUCAUCUAAUAGAACCAGUUCGAGGCCAGUUCAGACCAGUGAAACUAGUUGGACCGAUCAACUCGAAAGAAAAAUGAAAAGACUUACUAGUAAGCGUAGGAGGGGGUACGAAUACGACCCUCAACUAGUACUACAGCCGCACAUGGCAUCCCUUGGCUACUUCGCGUAACCUAACGAGAAAGCCACCCAAAAUAGUCACCCUUACGCAUUGGCAGAACACCACACGCAACUGAAGCCUCGGACUGCACAAAUCCAGCACCCAGCCAACGGCACAAUUGCCCACACAUGCAGGAAAGGCCAUUCACGCAUGCAGCAUAGGCCCCCUAGCAUGCGAACCUGUAACACCACGCCCAUCGCUAUGCUUAAUU
rnacentral:lncRNA from 1 species